CUCUCUGUGCUGUGCGUCUUGGACCAGGACAAGUCUCAUGUCUCACGUACGUGACUGACACUGGAUCUCAUGGGGGUGGGGAUGGCUCAAGGAUUUUCACGGAUUUCAGUCUCUCUUCUUGCUGUUGCUCUUCCUCUAGAUCCUCUUGUGCCACUAGGACCUGCACUCUCUUCUCCUCUUCCUCCUCCUUUCUCUGCUCUUCUCUCUUCUCCUCCUCUUUCUGCUCCUCUCUUCUCCUCCUCUCUCUUCUCCUCCUCUCUCUGCUCUUCUCUCUUCUCCUCCUCCUCCUCUCUCUGCUCCUCUCUUCUCCUCCUCCUCUCUCUGCUCCUCUCUCUUCUCCUCUCUCUGCUCCUCUCUCUUCUCCUCCUCUUCUAUCUUCUCCUCCUCCUCUCUCUGCUCCUCUCUCUUCUCCUCCUCCUCUCUCUGCUCCUCUCUCUUCUCCUCUCUCUGCUCCUCUCUCUUCUCCUCCUCCUCCUCUCUCUUCUCCUCCUCUUCUAUCUUCUCCUCCUCCUCUCUCUGCUCCUCUCUCUUCUCCUCCUCCUCUCUCUGCUCCUCUCUCUUCUCCUCCUCUCUCUACUCCUCUCUUCUCCUCCUCUCUCUGCUCCUCUCUCUGCUCUUCUCUCUUCUCCUCCUCCUCCUCUCUCUGCUCCUCUCUCUUCUCCUCCUCUUCUAUCUUCUCCUCCUCCUCUCUCUGCUCCUCUCUAUUCUCCUCCUCCUCCUCUCUCUGCUCCUCUCUCUGCUCCUCUCUAUUCUCCUCCUCAUCCUCUCUCUGCUCCUUUCUAUUCUCCUCCUCCUCCUCUCUCUGCUCCUCUCUCCUCCUCCUCUCUCUUCUCCUCCUCCUCUCCUCCUCCUCCUCUCUGCUCCCCUCUCUUCUCCUCCUCCUCUCUCUGCUCCUCUCUCUUCUCCUCCUCUCUCUACUCCUCUCUUCUCCUCCUCUCUCUGCUCCUCUCUCUGCUCUUCUCUCUUCUCCUCCUCCUCCUCUCUCUGCUCCUCUCUCUUCUCCUCCUCUUCUAUCUUCUCCUCCUCCUCUCUCUGCUCCUCUCUAUUCUCCUCCUCCUCCUCUCUCUGCUCCUCUCUUCUCCUCCUCUCUCUGCUCCUCUCUCUGCUCCUCUCUAUUCUCCUCCUCCUCCUCUCUCUGCUCCUCUCUAUUCUCCUCCUCAUCCUCUCUCUGCUCCUUUCUAUUCUCCUCCUCCUCCUCUCUCUGCUCCUCUCUCCUCCUCCUCUCUCUUCUCCUCCUCCUCUCCUCCUCCUCCUCUCUCUGCUCCUCUCUAUUCUCCUCCUCCUCCUCCUCCUCUCUCUGCUCCUCUCUCUUCUCCUCUUCCUCCUCUCUCUGCUCCCCUCUCUUCUCCUCCUCCUCCUCUCUCUGCUCCUCUCUCUAGCUUAUAUCAGCGGCACCUGACCAGCCCUUGUUGGCUUCCCUUGACACUGGCGAGGGCACAUCACAGCCACGUUCUGCAUCAGACUGCCUCA
rnacentral:lncRNA from 1 species